GGACAAUCCAUCCGCAUUCCCGUUCUGCUUACUGGGUCGGUAGCUGAUGGUGAAGUUGUAAGGUUGUAAUGCUAAGCUCCACCGCAGCAGUCUACCAUUGUCUCCUGAGACCCGGUUAAGCCAGACAAGGGGAUUGUGGUCCGUGAUAAGAGAGAACUCCUGCCCGUACAAAUAGGGGCUCAAUUUUUUUAAUGCCCAGACCAGGGCCAAAC